rnacentral:lncRNA from 1 species
UGUUGAAUUUUCUCUUGCAAUAAUAGUAUGCAAUACAAUUUUAUUCAUUAGCAUUUAUGUAUUUUUUGCUAUUAUUGUUCGUUAUUACAUUCAUUUAUAUGUCAAGUUACUUAUAUGUAUGAUUUAAGCAUUGCAGGUAUGGCACCAGAAGAGAGACGGCCACGUCAGAGUUUCCAGCCUCUCCUUGAGGAGCCUUCCCCCAUUCCAUUGCCGCACCAUCGAAGCCGCCAGAGAGUACUGCAGAGACUGAUUC